GUAAAACUCACACGGCGUGGUAAAGGGACAGAGGGCAGACGGGAGUUGUUGUGUGUUGUUUCUUUGUGUGUUGUUUCUUUGUGUGUUGUUUCUUUGUUGUAACGGUGUCUGUAAAUCCCGUGCUGAAAACAUGGGUAACGCGCAGCGUAAAGCAUUGAUGGAAAAUAAUGAUGUGAAAUUCAUGCAGAGAAAGUAUCCCGGUAGUUGUUGCUAUUUAGAAGAUUGGUACAAAAAUUGUGGGUUUGCAGGGAAGUUAGCAGCAGCUAAAAUACAGCCUUUUGAUGAGACCGUGUGUGUACCGCGUAGAGUUGAGGAGACAAAUCAGCAACAGAAUGGGGCCGCAGGGGGUUUACAAGAGGGGGGAGCAGUUGCAGGACAAGAAACAAAGGGACCUGUGACUAGGGCGACUUACACAAAACCCCCAAGCCACGAAGAAAUAAGUGCGUGUCGUCAGAAAUCAGACGAGACGCCAAUGGAAUAUCGUGCCCGUUUAGAAACGGUUUUUAGGACUAAUAGCGGGCUUCCUCAUUCUCCGCUGGUGGAUAAUCCAUACCAAAUACAGCUAAAAAUGUGGUUAAUUAGUGGUUUGUUGCCAAACGUGUCAGAUUUCAUAAAAGCAAACUGUGUCACACACCGUACCCUCACUGUUCCAGAGCUAAUGGAAUGGGCCGAACAUGCUUAUGAAGUCACUGAGAAAAAGAAAGCAAAAACUGAAUCAGCUAAUGUUAAUGUAUUGGCUGAGGCCAUGGCUGCAGCUCUAAUGAGCGAACGCUCAGGGUUUAAAAGACAGGGAAAAAAGCCAUAUCGUACUAGAACGCCUGAUGAGGAAUAAAGCCUGUAAUUAAUGAUUUACUGACUGCAGGCGUGUUACAGGAACAUGACUCAGCUGAAUGCAGCACCCCCAUCUUCCCUGUAAAAAAGCCACAGGGGGGCUGGAGGAUGGUACAUGAUUUAAGAGCAGUAAAUCAGGCUGUUAAAUCACGAGCUCCAAAUGUACCAGGCCCACACACAUUGUUAAAUGAAUUA
rnacentral:lncRNA from 1 species